UCCUUGCCCCCAUCCUGUGACAGAGGCCUGGGCAGGAUCCGCAUCCUUCCCGUUUUACGUACAGGGAGUCUCAGGCUGCCAGUGAUCACAGAGUUAGCAGGUGGCAGAUCUGGGACUUAAACUUGGGUUAUUUAGUGACUCUGCCUCUCCUGCGUUUUCUGAUCUAUCACAGUGCGGCCAAGAAGCUGCCGUCACUAGAGGGUCUCGGCAGAGGCUGUCAGGAAUACUGUGGAAGGCAUCUGGGCCGGCUUAGCUGACGAUUGCUGUGUGGUUUGAGGGACAGAGAACUCCCCAGAGUAUCCUGCUCACCAGUCAGUCGCCUCAGUUGGCCCUCAUCACUUCAUUACUUUAAAGAGGAGCAUGUGAACACACACAUGCCCUGGCUUGCUUUUUCUCCCUGAUAGAAAGCUGUGGAGGUUCGCUCAGCAAACCUUUACUAACUCCUCCCUGUCAAGCUCUCUACCGGGCCCUGGGAAUACAGACAUUAACUUCACACAGACCUCCCUCAAGGGCCUCAUAGAUGUGGGGUGGGCAGGGUGCUGUAAUGCAGCGCAGUUGACAGCAGAGAGAGCAGCUGACCAUCCUGCGGAUGGGUCAGGCCCCCGGGGACGGAGCAGCCCAGGGAACAAUGGGGGCCACGUGGAAGGGUGCAGCCCAUGUGGGGAGCAAGAAAUAAUCUGGGUUAGUUGGCCUGGGGACCAGAGGACAGAGGGCCUGGCUUAUUUUGGGAACUGGGAGUGUCUAGCUGAAUUUUGGGGGCUGUGAAAAGUUUUAAUGGAAGAAAGUUGGAGAAAUAAGACUUUGUGUGUUGCGCUGAGACAUUUUUACUCAAUCCCGUGACCACCGAGGAGCUAAGGGUUGAAAUAGGCGGACAUCAAAGUCAGACUGAGAACAAUUGUUCUGGUAGAUUGUUAGAGAAGGGACGGAACAAGGAAGGCCAGUUACUAAUGCAGGAGACUACGAGGGAAAUGCUGAAGGCGAGAGCCGAGGCAGUGGGUCUGGGAGUGGGGCAGGGUCAGAUUCGAAGAAACCUUCCUGAGGCAGAAUCCGAGUCAGUGACCGGUGUGAGGGAGAGGAGAAAAGUCAAGAGUGACUCGCCGGUUUUUAUUUGAGAUCUGCUUGCCUUAUUUUAUAAAGAUUUGCAAUCCAGAUGCUACGGUUCUCCUUAAUGGCAACUUUCAGAGCACAGCCUCGGCUCACUUGCCACAUCUCGCCAGCUUGGGCUUUACAAGCGGGGAAAUAUUCCUCUUUUUUUGGCUGACGUCUCGUUUCCUUUUUCUUAACUUCUGUUCUGAAAUUAUUACAGAAGUUUUUGUACUUCAAGGAAUUGGAGCCUGGUACAUAUUAGGUACUCAAUAAAUGAAUAAUCAGGUAAAUGAGGUCACGCAUCCUGGUUGACCUACAGGGUGAUGUUCGUGGUAAAGUGCUGGGCAUAAAAUGUGAAUUCUGUCAUUCCAGAGCAGCUUGUGCAUUUGUGCUAAAAUAAUGUUUGAUAGUGGAAGGGUAAAAUACAGAAUUCUGAAGAAUUUCCGGUAGCACGCAGCCAGGUAUCAGUCUCUGCGUUCGCUGCCCACGGUGGUCAUCGUACCUGACCCUGAGCACAGCAGUGGCCGCGGCAGGGUGAGGUGACCCAGCAGCGCGCGGGGGAACAGAUCGCGCUCUGGUGCCUUUACACUCUUGCCCCCCACCCCAUCCGCCGUACGGUUCUUGCUGGGGGGGGCGUGUGUUGUGUGAUUUCCCCGGGAUCCCAGGCGUGCCUGGGGUUCCACUUCUUGCCUGGGACUGACCCAGCUCCCAGCGUGGAGCCUCAGCGUUCGCUGCGUUAAUCAGACUUGCUGGAAUGAUCACGUGGUCCUCUAGCUGCCUGCCUGUCAGCUGCUGCUCGUCAGCAGCUGGCUGGCUGGAGGCUGCAGGCCCGUCUGCAGAAAGCCUUCUACUUCAGAAUAUGGGGGGUCGGGGGGUGCAGACCCGCCUCUUUCUUCUGCACUUUGCACCAUCUGACUGACUAAACGGUUGUCCUCCGAACCAGAAAGGCUACCAGGCAGUAUAAGGAAAUUGUCUCUGACUAGGUCAUGUUUGCAUUUGAAGAAUUCAGGUAUGUUCUGGGUUUUCUACAUCAGUCUGCCGCUGGGUUUUUGUUCUCGCUAGGUUUUUGCUGUGUAAUGACAGCCUAGGCUCUGGCUCGUUCUCACAAAAGAAGGGUUCUUUUCUGUGGCGGGGUUUCUCCCGGUCACGGGGGCGGGAGGCGCGGAGGUGGUACCGGUCCAGGCUGUUUACUGCAGGACAGAUGCAGCGUGGGUAAUUGGUUUGCUCGUGUGUGAAUGUGCCGAGGACCCCACCUUGUGCCUCACCUGAGCUGUGCUGUUGCUGGUGUAGAGGUAUGAAUGCAGAGUAGGAACUGCUCAUCCAGAAGGAGUCUCUUGCUGCCUUUUGUUUUUCUUCCUUUGUCAAACUCAUGGAGCCUGACUGCUCUUUUAAAAAAACGCUAACUGUAGCGGUGAAGGUGAAAAUCCUGCAAGUCUGUCUGCUUAGUCAAGAUCUGAUCUGGGCUCUGAUUUUGCUCGUCGUGAAUAGUGAUCUCUGGCUGGGCGGUUUUCUGGGAAGUACCCUCAUGAUGUUUUGUUAACAGGGUCCUUCUUUGCUUUCGUCAGCUUUUCAGCUGCUGUAAUUAUUAAUGCUCCAGAUUAGAGUCUUUUGUGAAUCUCAUGCCUUCUCUUUCCUCCAUCUCUCCUCCCUGGGUAUGAACGUAGGGGCGGGGGGGUACUCCAGAAGAGAUAGUCUCUAAGAAAUGAAAAUAAAGGAGCUGGGAUGGGAGGGUUACCGGCUCAUUCUUGUGCAGGGCUCCACCUCUUCGGAGCAUACGGAAGACAGUGUGUCUGUUUCUAACCUCUGACAGCUUCUCAUUUCUCAGAUGGAAUUUUUGUGUAUUUUAGAACUGAACGAAAAUACCAUAUUGAUGGGCGAAGAAGUGAUUGUGUGGGAACCUCCACAGGCCUUUUUCGUUCCCUCCAAAUGUUGCUGCAAUAGACAUGGAAAUGAUAAUAGAAUUACCACCUUUCAUUACUUGUAAGAGGAAACUAGAGACCUUUUGAUCAAAAUCAAGGGAGAGGAUGAGAGCAUUAUCAGCUUUCCACAAGGAAAAGCAGGGCUACGGAGGUUGUUCCCGCCCUUUCUAUAAACUUGGGGCUUUGGAUCCAGGAAGUUAUCCUUUGUUUAAGAGCGUGCCUCUGCAUUAUUUCUAAUGGACUGGGUUUGUGAAAAGAACAUUCUUUCCACGUGGCAACGUGCUCGGAUGACAUGGGGUGACACCGUGACCAGAACUUACAGUUUUAGGAUAGCUCCAUCAGAUAACUAACAAGAAUUUAUUUAAUGCCUGGCAUUAAAUAACAGUAGAUGUAACAGUAGAUAGGUCCUUAGGGAAUGAAUCGUGAGUCUUGGGUUCUAAUCCGAGUUUCAAAAUUGGCUUUCCUGAUCCUUGUGAGAGUUACGGAAGAGCUUUGUACAUCGUAGAAAGCAGUUCAAUGGUGAGGCUCAGAUUUUAUUGCUAGCGUUUGUUUGAGAUGGAGUACGUCUUGGCUUCUGCCUCGAACAAGCUUGGAGCCUUUCGUUGCAUUUUGUAGUCUGUGGGGAGGGGUGCAUAUCAACAAAGCCACUCCCACCGUGGUGGCACCUAGUCCCGGAGCCGAGAGCUGGGUCUGAUGAGGUGGAAGGGGGUUGAGUUAAAGGCCACUUGCUCUGCUGAGCUGAGAAAGUGGGGAAGUCUGUUACCCUUCAAGUUCCUGCCUAAGCUGGCCCUGAAGAAUUUCGCUGAGUAUGAUUGCAUUUUAUGACGGCUGCACGGGGGCCAGACCAGGUGGCUUUCUUCUUUAGUCAUGGGGCCUGUGCCCAUGGGGGCCAGGUGAUUGUGGUGGGGCAACGCUGCGCUCGAGAGGAGCUUAGCUUAGCUUUUUAGUUUAGGUCAGGUGGGUCCCGAAGCUAUAGCACGCAGCAGAAUCACCCGGAGGGCUCAUGAAAACCCACCCCCAGAGUUUCAGAUCUAGCAGGUCUGCAAUGGGGCUUCAGGAUCUGUGUGUCCGAUAAGUUCCCAGGUUUUCUGAUGCUGCAGUUCUGGGGACCAGACUUUGAGAACCAUUGGCUUGGGGAAAGCAGACGUUGUUGUUGUCGUUGAGGUGGGAAGUCUGAGGCAGAGGCGAGGAGGGAGGUACAGGGAGGAGCCAGAAGCUGCAGUUCAGGUACGGGCAGGUGGGCCAAGGCGGGGGUGCAGGCGUGAGGGGGGCACGCUCACGGGGCGGCGCUGGAAGGGAACACUGGGACGAGAACCAGGGGACUUGCUUUAUAAUCCUUGUUCUGCCGUGUGCUCCUUUGCGGGCUUGGCCAGCCUCUUCAUCGUUCUGAAGUCUCAAUUUUCUCAACUGAAAAUGGGGAUAGUUGUUCUUGCCAAGAAAGUCUAUAAUACUGUUAGAAUUAAAUGAGAUAACAUAAACUUACUUAAUAAAUUAUAGCACUCUUUCCACAUGAGUAUAAAGGGAGGAGAGGACCCUGGGGGUCUCCAUCAGGUUAUCUGGACACAGCCCUCCGUACACACGCCCAACUCCAAGAGCGCAAGGGCCACGUUCAUUUUAAAAGGAAGUCUGAUUGACAGACACGUUUACCUGCCGUUACUCCCUAUUGGACUCUGAGUUCCAAUGUGGUCUGUCAAUCCUGUCUUUUUAACUUUGUCUCCUUAGUGCCUAAAACUGCUUGACACACAGUAAAGCCUUAGUAAGUGGCGGACGCAGUUCAUUUUCACGAGGACUUAAUAAGGAAGAAAAAGCAAGCAAGCUCUCUGGCUAGCUCGGCGCAGGCCUGGGAUGGUACCGUGGUGCCCGCCGCGUGUGCUGGUUCAGAAGAGCAUGUCGAAAAGCUGACAUCUGACCUCCUGAGAAAAAUGUGAAGUGUCCUCAGCACACCCCCACGGCAGGAGUGCCAGAGAACUGCGAGCACAUUUCACGAGGAAUCUCCGCGAUGCCCUCACUCUAGAAUGGGCUGCUGAUUGUCGUGACGUGCCGGGGCCCAGGGCCCAAGCCUGGAGCGCUGCAGGGUCCCGAGAGCUUGAGAGACCGGGCCGGCAUUUUCCAGCUGGUUAGGGGGUUUCUACCUUCCACUGACUGCAAGACUGUGUUGUCCUAACACGAGGCCAGCUGUUCUAGCUGGCUGUGCUGGGAGACACACUGCAUUUGUGUUUUUGC
rnacentral:lncRNA from 1 species